rnacentral:rRNA from 1 species
UACGAAGGGGGCUAGCGUUGCUCGGAAUUACUGGGCGUAAAGCGCACGUAGGCGGCUUCUUAAGUCGGUGGUGGAAUCCUGGAGCUCAACUCCAGAACUGCCUUCGAUACUGGGAAGCUCGAGUCCGGGAGAGGUGAGUGGAACUGCGAGUGUAGAGGUGAAAUUCGUAGAUAUUCGCAAGAACACCAGUGGCGAAGGCGGCUCACCGGCCCGGUACUGACGCUGAGGUGCGAAAGCGUGGGGAGCAAACAGG